UUGAGGGGUAACAAGAAGUGGAGAGAUGUUGACCAUUGUCUCCAAUCACAGAUAAAUCUGUAUCUUCUGGAGUUCUCUCACAAUCUUCACUUUCCUCUCCAUCCUG